GACGAACCGUGCGAACGUUGUUCGGAUUCACUGGGCUUAAAGGGCGCGUAGGCGGGGGUUCAAGUCGGUGGUGAAAUCUUUCGGCCCAACCGGAAAAUCGCCUCCGAUACUGGAUCUCUUGAGGGGGGUAGGGGCAUGCGGAACUUCGGGUGGAGCGGUGAAAUGCGUAGAUAUCCGAAGGAACGCCGGUGGCGAAAGCGGCGUGCUGGACCCUUUCUGACGCUGAGGCGCGAAAGCCAGGGGAGCAAACGGG
rnacentral:rRNA from 1 species